rnacentral:rRNA from 1 species
UAAACUCGGCAAAUUGACACCGUAACUUCGGAAGAAGGUGUGCCUUUGGUAGGUGAGCGGGAUUUACUCCUGUGAGCCGAAGAGGGCCGCAGAGAAUCGGUGGCUGCGACUGUUUAUCAAAAACACAGCACUCUGCUAAGACGUUGGAAGUCGACGUAUAGGGUGUGACGCCUGCCCGGUGCCGGAAGGUUAAGUGAUGGGGUGCAAGCUCUUGAUCGAAGCCCCGGUAAACGGCGGCCGUAACAAUAACGGUCCUAAGGUAGCGAAAUUCCUUGUCGGGUAAGUUCCGACCCGCACGAAUGGCGUAACGAUGGCCACACUGUCUCCUCCUGAGACUCAGCGAAGUUGAAAUGUUUGUGAAGAUGCAAUCUUCCCGCGGCUAGACGGAAAGACCCCAUGAACCUUUACUGUAGCUUUGCAUUGGACUGUGACGCUGUCUGUGUAGGAUAGCUGGGAGGCUUUGAAGCCGGGUCGCUAGACUCGGUGGAGCCGACGUUGAAAUACCAGCCUGACGACGUUGCGGUUCUAACCUGGGCCCCUUGACGGGGUCGGGGACCGUGCAUGGUAGGCAGUUUGACUGGGGCGGUCUCCUCCUAAAGGGUAACGGAGGAGUGCGAAGGUCACCUAGGUACGGUCGGAAAUCGUACUCAUAGUGCAAUGGCAUAAGGUGGCUUGACUGCGAGACCGACAAGUCGAGCAGGUGCGAAAGCAGGUCAUAGUGAUCCGGUGGUUCUGUAUGGAAGGGCCAUCGCUCAACGGAUAAAAGGUACUCUGGGGAUAACAGGCUGAUUCCUCCCAAGAGUUCAUAUCGACGGGGGAGUUUGGCACCUCGAUGUCGGCUCAUCACAUCCUGGGGCUGUAGCCGGUCCCAAGGGUAUGGCUGUUCGCCAUUUAAAGUGGUACGUGAGCUGGGUUCAAAACGUCGUGAGACAGUUUGGUCCCUAUCUGCCGUGGGCGCUGGAGAUUUGACGGGGGCUGCUCCUAGUACGAGAGGACCGGAGUGGACGCAUCCCUGGUGUACCGGUUGUCACGCCAGUGGCAUUGCCGGGUAGCUAUAUGCGGAAGAGAUAACCGCUGAAAGCAUCUAAGCGGGAAACUUGCCUGAAGAUGAGAUCUCCCGGGAGCUUGACUCCCCUGAAGGGUCGUUUGAGACCAGGACAUUGAUAGGCUGGGUGUGUAAGCGCAGUAAUGCGUUGAGCUAACCAGUACUAAUUGCCCGUGCGGCUUGACUCU